GACGAACGCUGGCGGCGUGCUUAACACAUGCAAGUCGAACGGAAAGGCCCUGCUUUGGUGGGGUGCUCGAGUGGCGAACGGGUGAGUAACACGUGAGUAACCUGCCCUUUACUUUGGGAUAACUUCAGGAAACUGGGGCUAAUACCGGAUAGGAGCUCCGGCUGCAUGGGGGGGGUUGGAAAGUUUCGGCGGGUGGGGAUGGACUCGCGGCUUAUCAGCUUGUUGGUGGGGUAGUGGCUUACCAAGGCUCUGGCGGGUAGCCGGCCUGAGAGGGUGACCGGCCACAUUGGGACUGAGAUACGGCCCAGACUCCUCCGGGAGGCAGCAGUGGGGAAUAUUGCACAAUGGGCGGAAGCCUGAGGCAGCACCGCCGCGUGCGGGAUGCCGGCCUUCGGGUUGUAAACCGCUUUCGCCUGUGACGAAGCGUGAGUGACGGUAAUGGGUAAAGAAGCACCGGCUAACUACGUG
rnacentral:rRNA from 1 species